rnacentral:rRNA from 1 species
CCUAGCUUGCUAGGUGGAUUAGUGGCGCACGGGUGAGUAAUAUAUAGAUAACGUGCCUCUUAGUCUGGGAUAGCCAUUGGAAACGAUGAUUAAUACUAGAUACUCCUUCUAACUCUAAUGUUAGUUGGGAAAGUUUUUCGCUAAGAGAUCGGUCUAUAUCCCAUCAGCUAGUUGGUAGUGUAAGAGACUACCAAGGCAAUGACGGGUAGCGGGUUUGAGAGGAUGAUCCGCCACACUGGUACUGAGACACGGACCAGACUCCUACGGGAGGCAGCAGUGAGGAAUAUUGCACAAUGGAGGAAACUCUGAUGCAGCAACGCCGCGUGGAGGAUGACGCAUUUCGGUGUGUAAACUCCUUUUAUAUGUCAAGAAAAUGACGGUAGCAUAUGAAUAAGCACCGGCUAACUCCGUGCCAGCAGCCGCGGUAAUACGGAGGGUGCAAGCGUUAUUCGGAAUCACUGGGCGUAAAGGACGCGUAGGCGGGAUGC